rnacentral:rRNA from 1 species
AACGAACGCUGGCGGCAUGCCUAACACAUGCAAGUCGAACGCUUCUCUUCGGAGAGGAGUGGCGCACGGGUGAGUAACGCGUGGAAACCUGCCCCGGAGUGGGGGAUAACCCGGCGAAAGCCGGGCUAAUACCGCAUACGGCCUACGGGCGAAAGAUUUAUCGCUCUGGGAGGGGUCCGCGUCCGAUUAGCUAGUUGGCGGGGUAACGGCCCACCAAGGCGACGAUCGGUAGCUGGUCUGAGAGGAUGAUCAGCCACACUGGGACUGAGACACGGCCCCGACUCCUACGGGAGGCAGCAGUGGGGAAUAUUGGACAAUGGGGGGAACCCUGAUCCAGCCAUGCCGCGUGUGUGAAGAAGGCCUUAUGGUUGUAAAGCACUUUAAGCGAGGAGGAGGCUCUUUUGGUUAAUACCCAAGAUGAGUGGACGUUACUCGCAGAAUAAGCACCGGCUAACUC